rnacentral:lncRNA from 1 species
AUUGAUGGGAAAACAUGUUUAUAAGUUAAAACAAACAUCCAUUUAAUCACUAGAUCCAAGACUAGGUCUAUCAAACCACUUUUGGCACUUUAAAAUCCAAAUUCACUCCUACAAGUUGCCCAAUUUCAAUUCUACUCUUUCCAACCCCCAUAUUAUAUUACAAACUGCAUAAAAAGGUUUAAAUACACUUGUUAGCACCCCUUAAUACUUCAGUUUCACCCCAACUACUCCACUUUCCAUUUCCAACACCUAAAACCUCCAAAGUGAAGUAGGAAACAUAAACUAUGAUGCAAGUCUUAAUUGACUU